UACGAAGGGUGCAAGCGUUAUUCGGAAUUAUUGGGCGUAAAGGGUUCGUAGGCGGGAAGCCAAGUCAGAUGUGAAAUCCCUGAGCUUAACUUAGGACUUGCAUUUGAUACUGGUUUUCUUGAGUACUGAAGAGGGUGGUGGAAUUGCUGGUGUAGGAGUGACAUCCGUAGAUAUCAGCAGGAACACCGGAGGCGAAAGCGGCCACCUGGUCGAGUACUGACGCUGAGGAACGAAAGCGUGGGGAGCAAACAGG
rnacentral:rRNA from 1 species